AUGGCUCCUGUGUCAGCCAGACACUGUGCAGAAACACGACCUCUUGGAGUUGGAGCAUGUCUGGCUACUGCCCUCACUGAGAAAGGGGGAGCGUUUGUUGUAGGAGAAACCCAGCCAAGAGCCAAAACCCAGGCAGUGGUGACCCAGGAGCCUUCUCUGACUGGGAUCCCAGGAGGAAGAGUCACCAUGACCUGUAGCUCCAGCAUGGGGGCAGCCACCUCUGGGAACUACCCAGCCUGGUUCCAGCAGAAACCUGGCCAGUCUCCCAAGAGACUCAUCUAUAAUAGCCAUAUUCAUUCAGGACUCCCUGCCCCAUUCUCAGGGUCUCUCCUUGGGGACAAGGUUGCCCUCACCAUCACUGGUGAUGAGCCUGGGGAGGAGGCUGACUAUCACUGUUCCUUGUAG